UGGGGAAUUUUGGACAAUGGGCGAAAGCCUGAUCCAGCAAUGCCGCGUGUGUGAAGAAGGCCUUCGGGUUGUAAAGCACUUUUGUCCGGAAAGAAAUCCUUGGCUCUAAUACAGUCGGGGGAUGACGGUACCGGAAGAAUAAGCACCGGCUAACUACGUGCCAGCAGCCGCGGUAAUACGUAGGGUGCAAGCGUUAAUCGGAAUUACUGGGCGUAAAGCGUGCGCAGGCGGUUUGCUAAGACCGAUGUGAAAUCCCCGGGCUCAACCUGGGAACUGCAUUGGUGACUGGGCAGGCUAGAGUAUGGCAGAGGGGGGUAGAAUUCCACGUGUAGCAGUGAAAUGCGUAGAGAUGUGGAGGAAUACCGAUGGCGAAGGCAGCCCCCUGGGCCAAUACUGACGCUCAUGCACGAAAAGCGUGGGGGAGCAAACAGGAUUAGAUACCCUGGUAGUCCACGCCCUAAACGAUGUCAACUAGUUGUUGGGGGAUUCAUUUCCUUAGUAACGUAGCUAACGCGUGAAGUUGACCGCCUGGGGGAGUACGGUCGCAAGAUUAAAACUCAAAUGAAUUGAC
rnacentral:rRNA from 1 species